rnacentral:rRNA from 1 species
AGUUUGAUCCUGGCUCAGAGCGAACGCUGGCGGCAGGCCUAACACAUGCAAGUCGAACGGACCCUUCGGGGUUAGUGGCGGACGGGUGAGUAACACGUGGGAACGUGCCUUUAGGUUCGGAAUAGCUCCUGGAAACGGGUGGUAAUGCCGAAUGUGCCCUUCGGGGGAAAGAUUUAUCGCCUUUAGAGCGGCCCGCGUCUGAUUAGCUAGUUGGUGAGGUAACGGCUCACCAAGGCGACGAUCAGUAGCUGGUCUGAGAGGAUGACCAGCCACACUGGGACUGAGACACGGCCCAGACUCCUACGGGAGGCAGCAGUGGGGAAUCUUGCGCAAUGGGCGAAAGCCUGACGCAGCCAUGCCGCGUGAAUGAUGAAGGUCUUAGGAUUGUAAAAUUCUUUCACCGGGGACGAUAAUGACGGUACCCGGAGAAGAAGCCCCGGCUAACUUCGUGCCAGCAGCCGCGGUAAU